AAAUAACAGGUAACAACACUAAAGCCAGACUACACCAGCUUUUCACGACCGUAGAGGAAGACAAACAGGGAGUAGUUGGUUGUUGUUAGCUAGCCACUGUUUUGGACAAUUCGGAAUGAAGUCAUCUUCCUUCCUUCGUCGUCCUGUAUUUCAAAGCCCUUCUACUGGCACCAUCUGUGAGAAAAAAACAUCACCCAGAUAGACCAGUCGUAUGAGAAACUCGUCAUCAUGCAAGUGAUCAGACAAGUGAAAAUUAUGGUCAGUAAAGAAAACUUUAAGCUCGUCUCUCAAUUGUAAAAAUCGUGUCAAUACUUUGCCCCUUGAUAACCAGCGUUUCAUGGUCGCUGCC
ensembl:lncRNA